rnacentral:rRNA from 1 species
AUUUGACCUCAAAUCAGGUAGGACUACCCGUUGA